rnacentral:rRNA from 1 species
GCCAGUGGUGAACUCCACAUACGCAUCCUUUGCUGAGGAUACGGUUAACGGAGCGAAAGCGACGUUCAACCUCAAAAGAAGCAGAGGGGGCUUAGUGGUGGGGUGACUGCGUACCUUUUGUAUAAUGGGUCAGCGACUUAUAUUCUGUAGCAAGGUUAACCGAAUAGGGGAGCCGGAGGGAAACCGAGUCUUAAUUGGGCGUUAAGUUGCAGGGUAUAGACCCGAAACCCGGUGAUCUAGCCAUGGGCAGGUUGAAGGUUGGGUAACACUAACUGGAGGACCGAACCGACUAAUGUUGAAAAAUUAGCGGAUGACCUGUGGCUGGGGGUGAAAGGCCAAUCAAACCGGGAGAUAGCUGGUUCUCCCCGAAAGCUAUUUAGGUAGCGCCUCGUGAAUUCAUCUCCGGGGGUAGAGCACUGUUUCGGCUAGGGGGCCAUCCCGGCUUACCAACCCGAUGCAAACUGCGAAUACCGGAGAAUGUUAUCACGGGAGACACACGGCGGGUGCUAACGUCCGUCGUGAAGAGGGAAACAACCCAGACCGCCAGCUAAGGUCCCAAAGUCAUGGUUAAGUGGGAAACGAUGUGGGAAGGCCCAGACAGCCAGGAUGUUGGCUUAGAAGCAGCCAUCAUUUAAAGAAAGCGUAAUAGCUCACUGGUCGAGUCGGCCUGCGCGGAAGAUGUAACGGGGCUAAACCAUGCACCGAAGCUGCGGCAGCGACACUGUGUGUUGUUGGGUAGGGGAGCGUUCUGUAAGCCUGUGAAGGUGUGUCGUGAGGCAUGCUGGAGGUAUCAGAAGUGCGAAUGCUGACAUAAGUAACGAUAAAGCGGGUGAAAAGCCCGCUCGCCGGAAGACCAAGGGUUCCUGUCCAACGUUAAUCGGGGCAGGGUGAGUCGACCCCUAAGGCGAGGCCGAAAGGCGUAGUCGAUGGGAAACGGGUUAAUAUUCCCGUACUUGGUGUUACUGCGAAGGGGGGACGGAGAAGGCUAUGUUGGCCGGGCGACGGUUGUCCCGGUUUAAGCGUGUAGGUGUGUGU